rnacentral:misc_RNA from 1 species
AACGCACGAGACCUGCGGACCUGCGGAGGGAUCAUUAUUGAAUAAACUUGAUGUGGUUGUAGCUGGCUCUCUCGGGAGUAUGUGCUCGCCCGUCAUCUUUAUCUUUCCACCUGUGCACUUCUUGUAGAUUUGGAUGUUAACUGUCCGAGGCAACUCGGGUUAGGAGGAAUGUCAAUUCAAUUGGCUUUCCUUGUAAUGUCCAAGUCUAUGUUUUCAUAUACUCCAAAGUAUGUAUCAGAA